UCAGAUCUCAGAUUUAUUGUGGGCUUUUAUGAUUUCCAGAUGCCAGCAUCUGUUAGCCCCUGGGAGAGGAUUGAGCCAUUAAAGCCACAGCAAUUCGAGCACAAGGACUGCCGCCUCAACCUACCAAGUGGCAGAAGAUUACUUUGGACAAUACCCGGACUGUGUGGAAAAGAGCAAGGACCCGGACCCGGACCCGGACCGAACUUUUGAUAGUUUGUUUUCCUGGAGUGGAAGCUCAAGUGUCAUAAUUGCUAUGAAUUUAAUUUCCUGGAACCGAAACCGUAAGUUUAUCAUGAAAACUUUUCGCAAAUUCCCUGGUCAACUGCAGUCCCGCCCCACAAGGACUUGAAGUGUUUCUUGAUUUGUUUUGCAAAUGUAAUUUGCUUCGACUUAAGAUGCAGUUUACCCGCCAGGACCAGGACCAGGCCCAGGCCUAUGCGGAAAAUGCGGGUGAAAAGAACUUGUAACUCGGUUGCAAUUUAUGCUACAAUUUUCAUAUUCAUGCAACUAGCAACUACAACAAGGACAACCACUUCAAGUGUCUGGCUCUGGCGAAAAUUGCCAUAAAAAACUUUGGCCGUCUCAAUGGCAAAAGUCGUCAACAUCCACCGUUGUCGUCGCUGGCGCUGGCGUUGGCGUCGUUCCCCUCCUUCAUGGCACAGACGCCUUUCAGACUGUGGGGCUCUGCUGGUCUGGUCUGGUCUGGUCUGGGAUUUAAGGUGUUGACUUUCCUCCGUUAGCCUGGGCCACAAUUUGUCAGCAAGUUUUCCUAACAACUAAAUUCUAUGCUCGGUUUGAGUGCAAUUGCAUCUCCCCCACCCCACCUCGUGGCCUGCUGCUGCAUGCAAAUUAUGCAAAUUUGACUUUCAACGAAAGCCCCUUUCGCUUUCUAACUGACUGGCUGCAAGGUCAACAUAUUUAUGGCCUUUCAACCUCCUCCUUCUCCUUCUCGCCUCCUACUCAACCUCAAUCCCAAACCACUCACCCAUUUUAUUUUGUAUGCAACGAAAUACAGCCCCCCUCCCGGGGCACCGAGACAGCAAUUAAAAUGCUUUAGAAUUUAGUUCGCUGUCAGUCAAAGAUUGAGUCACUUGUCGACGGCAUCGUCAUCGUCGCAGUCGCUGGUCUUGUUUGGCAGCUGCUGGUUGACUGCCUGAUGGAUGUCAUUAGAUGGUAGCCACCAAUGAGCCACUUCUAUUCAGAACUUCUUAACACAAGCAAGGCUUUGUAGGCAAACUGCUUUGCGGCUUAGAGACGGUACAAACAAGGUUGUAUAGGCAUGGUGAAAUGCUGCACAAGGAUCACAAAUCACUUGAACAGGUCUCUUUCUCAUGUCUUAUACACACGCAUCGGCGUUUAACAGAGGGAACUGUUGAACGGGUCGUAACAUGGAGUAUAAGACUGUUAUUAAACUAUGCCCAGCAGAAGAGGAGCGAGAGACUGUUUUAUAAGAGAUAUAUUCGAAUGUUUCUAUUAAGGAAGUUAAGGAAAAUGUUUGUUACAGGUCCCAGAGGCCACUUUCCCCAAGUAGCUCUAAUUAGUGAUUAGCGAAUAUCUUUACUAAGACUUGGCCUUAAACAUUUAUGUUAGAAUUAGCGUCUCCUUGGGGUAUCAACUAUUCAGUCACCAUCAAUCAAAACCUCUUCUCAAUGGCUUAUGGUGCCAUCUUAUUUUCUGCAUAAUUUGCAAUCUUUGUAAGCAAACGAAUGAGUUCCAUUCUUAAUGACCUUGUUUUUCCGCUGCGCCACAUGCUUGGCUAAUUAAUUAUGCAGCAGUUUUGGGGUAGUGAGGGGAGGGAACCAAAUGGUUAUCUAGUCUCUGAUAGAAUUCUAUUUAAUUUAUUGCAUUUAAUUGGAAUGCAUUUUGUAUGAGUUUCGAACCAUCUGUCCGCUCCGUUGGCUGUUUUAGAUUAUAAAGUUUUCGACACUGCUGUUUUGGCCAUUGAAUUGUUCACCAUCUGGUUCGUUGGCAUACACUUCUCAGGAAUUUUAAAUCGAAAUCUUUACACUAUCUUUAAUUGUUCGAUAAAUUGCUGGAUUAAAAAAUACUAAUAAUUUUCAUAGAAAUACCUCAGCAAUUCUAAAGGCUUUUCCGGAACCAUUUCCUGCUUAUUAAGCAGAAAUGAUUAAAUACGAAAAGAAAACUCAUUCAUUAAAUUCAAAUGAAAAACUACUCCUUGGUUUUUCAGUCUUCAUCUUAAGCGCUUCUUGGCUCAUUGUAAAUCAGUCGUUUAGCUUUUCUCGAGAAAAUCGUUGAUUACUUUUCCAUGAGUUCCUUUUCAUUUGCUUAACUCUUUGUGCAGGGCAUGGCAGCUUCUCCAUCCUGCUUCCGACAUCCUCGAAGAGCUUUCCGCCCAAUGCAUUUCUUAAUAAAUCCCCCAAUCCUUCGAAGACCUGGUUUCCUUUCUACCUUUACUUUCCUCCUUCAUUAAUACCAUCUACUUUUUUCUUCUUCGCUUGCCUUUUUGUAAAUUUUAUUCUCUCAAUCAAUGGGAAAAUUCGAUCAAUCGUCAAAUUUAUCUACGAUUUGCACACUGCGGCAUCAAAUGGAAAUUUCCCUUUGAAGUGAUGUUGAUGUUUUACGACAACUUAAAAUAUCGGGAAUUUGGUCAUAAGGCUAUGAAUUUCCCACGGCUUGUAACUGUUAUACCCAUAACUAAACACUCAUUGGCAAUAACUACCUUAAGGUGACACUGAAUAGGGCCACGGGCUGUGACCCAUCUGCAAUCACUCCCAAAGGUUAACCCCACCAUUCGGCGUCAAUUAAAUUACUCCUGACAUGGCCAGCUUACUUGUUCGUAAGCCAACUGAUGACUUUCCACUGGCGUUUCAGCCGCUCGUAGCUGGCUGUCAGGUGAUUAAACCAGGCUCAGAGCCCCGCCGCCCCACUGCUCCACCGCCCAAUCGACGAAAACGACGCCGGCCCCGGGCAUCACAUCACUCAAAAUCGCAGUUGCAAAAUGCAGCAAAUGAAAACAAAGCAAAGGCACGUAAAUGGCUUAAUAAUUCUGUCAGUUUCCAGUCUGCUCCCGGCUGUCCCAAAAUAGCUCCCACAUGGAACCAUGGCAGAGACCUGCCAACACGGCAUUAAAACGGUUGACGUUUUACUUUUAUUUAUUUUUUUUGCGUAAUUUCAUAAUUUAUGCAU
rnacentral:misc_RNA from 1 species